UACGUAGGGUGCGAGCGUUGUCCGGAAUUAUUGGGCGUAAAGAGCUCGUAGGCGGUGUGUCGCGUCGGCCGUGAAAACCCGCAGCUCAACUGUGGGCUUGCAGCCGAUACGGGCAGGCUUGAGUUCGGUAGGGGAGACUGGAAUUCCUGGUGUAGCGGUGAAAUGCGCAGAUAUCAGGAGGAACACCGGUGGCGAAGGCGGGUCUCUGGGCCGAUACUGACGCUGAGGAGCGAAAGCGUGGGGAGCGAACAGG
rnacentral:rRNA from 1 species